rnacentral:rRNA from 1 species
GACAGAGGUGCCAAGCGUUAGGCGGAAUCACUGGGCUUAAAGCGUGUGUAGGUGGAUCGGUAAGUACCUUGUGAAAUCCCACGACUCAAUCGUGGAACUGCUUGGUAUACUGCCAGUCUUGAGGUACUCAGGGGCAAGCGGAACAGAUGGUGGAGCGGUGAAAUGCGUAGAUAUCAUCUGGAACGCCAAUGGUGAAGACAGCUUGCUGGGGGUAUUCUGACACUGAGACACGAAAGCCAGGGGAGCAAACGGG